rnacentral:rRNA from 1 species
GACGUAGGGUCCAAGCGUUGUCCGGAUUUACUGGGCGUAAAGAGCGCGUAGGCGGCUCGUUAAGUGUGAAGUGAAAUCUCCAGGGGCUCAACCCGGAAACUGCUUUACAUACUGGCGAGCUGGAGUGAUGCAGAGGUUUGUGGAAUUCCUGGUGUAACGGUGAAAUGUGUUGAUAUCAGGAGGAACACCCAUGGCGAAGGC